UACGGGGGAUCCGAGCGUUAUCCGGAUUUAUUGGGUUUAAAGGGUGCGCAGGCGGAAUAUUAAGUCGGCGGUGAAAGUUUGCAGCUUAACUGUAAAAUUGCCGUUGAUACUGGUAUUCUUGAGUGUAUAUGAAGUAGGCGGAAUUUGUAGUGUAGCGGUGAAAUGCAUAGAUAUUACAAGGAACUCCGAUUGCGAAGGCAGCUUACUAAAUUACAACUGACGCUUAGGCACGAAGGCGUGGGUAUCAAACAGG
rnacentral:rRNA from 1 species